rnacentral:rRNA from 1 species
UACGGGGGGGGCAAGCGUUGUUCGGAAUUACUGGGCGUAAAGCGUGCGCAGGCGGUUGUGUAAGUCAGAUGUGAAAUCCCCGGGCUCAACCUGGGAAUUGCAUUUGAGACUGCACGGCUAGAGUGUGUCAGAGGGGGGUAGAAUUCCACGUGUAGCAGUGAAAUGCGUAGAGAUGUGGAGGAAUACCGAUGGCGAAGGCAGCCCCCUGGGAUAACACUGACGCUCAUGCACGAAAGCGUGGGGAGCAAACAGG